rnacentral:rRNA from 1 species
GCGUAUCCAACCUGCCCUUUACUAUGGGACAGCCCGUCGAAAGGCGGAUUAAUACCGUAUGUUGUCAUGUUGAUGCAUAUUUUCAUGACCAAAGGCUUCGGCCGGUAAAGGAUGGGGAUGCGUCUGAUUAGCUUGCCGGCGGGGUAACGGCCCACCGGGGCGACGAUCAGUAGGGGUUCUGAGAGGAAGGUCCCCCACAUUGGAACUGAGACACGGUCCAAACUCCUACGGGAGGCAGCAGUGAGGAAUAUUGGUCAAUGGGCGCGAGCCUGAACCAGCCAAGUAGCGUGCAGGACGACGGCCCUAUGGGUUGUAAACUGCUUUUAUACGGGGAUAAAGUAUGCCACGUGUGGUUUAUUGCAGGUACCGUAUGAAUAAGGACCGGCUAAUUCCGUGCCAGCAGCCGCGGUAAUACGGAAGGUCCGGGCGUUAUCCGGAUUUAUUGGGUUUAAAGGGAGCGUAGGCCGGGUUUUAAGCGUGCCGUGAAAUGUCGGGGCUCAACCUUGACACUGCGGCGCGAACUGGAGUCCUUGAGUGCGCGGAACGUAUGCGGAAUUCGUGGUGUAGCGGUGAAAUGCUUAGAUAUCACGAAGAACCCCGAUUGCGAAGGCAGCAUACG